UGGGGAAUUUUGCACAAUGGGGGAAACCCUGAUGCAGCGACGCCGCGUGAUUUAGAAGGCCUUCGGGUUGUAAAAAUCUUUUCUAUGGGAAGAAAAUGACAGUACCAUAGGAAUAAGGAUCGGUUAAUUACGUGCCAGCAGCCGCGGUAAUACGUAAGGUCCGAGCGUUGUCCGGAAUCAUUGGGCGUAAAGGGUACGUAGGCGGGUAAGCAAGUUAGAAGUGAAAUCCUAUAGCUCAACUCUAGUAAGCUUUUAAAACUGUGCAUAUUAAGGUAUGGAAGGGAAAGUGUAAUUCCUAGUGUAGCAGUGAAAUGCGCAGAUAUUAGGGGGAAUACCGGUGGCGAAGGCGACUUUCUGGCCAGAACCUGACGCUGAGGUACGAAAGCGUGGGUAGCAGACAGG
rnacentral:rRNA from 1 species